rnacentral:rRNA from 1 species
GACGAACGCUGGCGGCGUGCUUAACACAUGCAAGUCGAACGGUGAAGCGCCUUCCUUUUUGGUGGGUGUGGAUGAGUGGCGAACGGGUGAGUAACACGUGAGUAACCUGCCCCCUUCUUCUGGAUAACCGCAUGAAAGUGUGGCUAAUACGGGAUAUUCUGGGUCUGUCGCAUGAUGGGUCUGGGAAAGAUAUUGUUUCGGUGGGGGAUGGGCUCGCGGCCGAUCAGCGUGUUGGUGGGCUGAUGGCCUACCACGGCGUUGGCGGGUAGCCGGCCUGACUGGGUGUGAGACACCGCCGAGACUCCUACGCGGCGCAGAAUCGUGCAGUAUUGCGCAGUGGGGGCAAGCGUGCUGCAGCCACGCCGCGUGAGCGAUGGAGGCCUUCGGGUUGUGAACCUCUUCCGGCAGUGAACCAGGUUUGCCUCUUUUGUGGGUGGGUUGACGGUAGCUGGAUAAGAAGCGCCGGCUAACUACGUG